UCUGCACCAGAGGCUUCUGAGACCUGGGAAAAGCAUUGUGAUUGUGAUUCAGUGCUUGAUCCAUGUCCAGAGUCUUCUGCUUCAGA
rnacentral:pre_miRNA from 1 species